UUACUGGGCGUAAAGCGGGCGCAGACGGUUACUUAAGCAGGAUGUGAAAUCCCCGGGCUCAACCUGGGAACUGCGUUCUGAACUGGGUGACUAGAGUGUGUCAGAGGGAGGUAGAAUYCCACGUGUAGCAGUGAAAUGCGUAGAGAUGUGGAGGAAUACCGAUGGCGAAGGCAGCCUCCUGGGAUAACACUGACGUUCAUGCCCGAAAGCGUGGGUAGCAAACAGGAUUAGAUACCCUGGUAGUCCACGCCCUAAACGAUGUCGAUUAGCUGUUGGGCAGCUUGACUGCUUAGUAGCGAAGCUAACGCGUGAAAUCGACCGCCUGGGGAGUACGGUCGCAAGAUUAAAACUCAAAGGAAUUGACGGGGACCCGCACAAGCGGUGGAUGAUGUGGAUUAAUUCGAUGCAACGCGAAGAACCUUACCUGGUCUUGACAUGUACGGAACCCUCCAGAGACGGAGGGGUGCCUUCGGGAGCCGUAACACAGGUGCUGCAUGGCUGUCGUCAGCUCGUGUCGUGAGAAG
rnacentral:rRNA from 1 species